rnacentral:rRNA from 1 species
AGCGAACGCUGGCGGCAGGCUUAACACAUGCAAGUCGAGCGCCCCGCAAGGGGAGCGGCAGACGGGUGAGUAACACGUGGGAACGUGCCUUUUGGUUCGGAACAACCCAGGGAAACUUGGGCUAAUACCGGAUAAGCCCUUACGGGAAAAGAUUUAUCGCCAAAAGAUCGGCCCGCGUCUGAUUAGCUAGUUGGUGGGGUAAUGGCCCACCAAGGCUACGAUCAGUAGCUGGUCCGAGAGGAUGAUCAGCCACAUUGGGACUGGGACACGGCCCAAACUCCUACGGGAGGCAGCAGUGGGGAAUAUUGGACAAUGGGGGCAACCCUGAUCCAGCCAUGCCGCGUGGGUGAUGAAGGCCUUAGGGUUGUAAAGCUCUUUUAGCAGGGAAGAUAAUGACGGUACCUGCAGAAAAAGCCCCGGCUAACUUCGUGCCAGCCGCCGCAGUAAUAC